CAUUGAAACACUGGAUCCUGUAUGAUCAUUGAAGUUAAGCAACAUUGAGUCUGGUCAGUACCUAGAUGGUUGAUCACUUAGGAAUAGCAGGUACUGUAAG